rfam:Aedes albopictus isolate Foshan contig19242, whole genome shotgun sequence.
UGUUCUGUGGCUUGGUUGGUUAAAGCGCCGGUCUUGUGAAUACGGAGUCGUGGGUUCGAAUCCCACCAGAACGC